rnacentral:lncRNA from 1 species
CUAGGACUGGUCAAGUCUAGGACUCAAUGCAGUUGCCUUGGCUGUUGUUCACCAGCAUGGAAGGUGCUGGUCUGAAUGCUGGGAGGGUGGGGCAGGUAUGUCUCUUGACUCUUGCAUCUCAUAGCACAUCUCUGACUGACCACUAGGCACCAAGCUAGAUCUGGCCGGCUGUGUGCACAGACAUAAAGGACGGAAUGUUCUGGCUACUACCUCUGCAAAACAAGAAUGCUGUCAACCUGAGAGAGGAAGGAAUGUUCACUACCUACCUCUCCCUCCUUUCACUGCAGACGAGAACUCUCUGUACUUGGGAGUCAUACUGGUCCUGACCACACAGCAGCCACAUAAGGACACCUGCGGGAACUUUCCCUCUUCCAUACUGGAGUGCUUCUUCCCUAGUAAUUCAGUACAGGUCCCUGGAGCCUUGGACACUCACCAAAGACCCCUGCAUCUCCAAGGCCUUGGAAUGGAGAAUCAAGCCCUGGCACCGACAGACACCCCCUUCCCCACCCUGAAUCACUGAUUGUGACAAACUUCCAUUCUGCGGUCUCUGCCUUCCUAUUGAGUGUCGAAGGUCCAAAGUCUUUGUGUUUUCCUCUCUGCCACACGGACUAUGUGGAAGAUGAAGAGGACGUCCCCAGGCAGGAAAGGGAGGAAUGACAUUCCAGGUAGAUGCAUUGGAGUUGAGAGGCCAGUACACUGGGCGAACUUCACGGCUGAAGCCUGGAGCGAAGGGGACACGGGUGCUUGAGGUCCAUUGUAGCAGCAAAUGAAGACCAGGCUUCAUUUUGACUUUAUACCCACACUGGCUCCUGGCUCUGGGGAGCCGAU